UAGUGGAGGUUAUCAGGGAGACAGGUGGUGCGAUGGUUGUCGUCAGCUCGUGUCGUGAGAUGUUGGGUUAAAGUCCCGCAACGAGCGCAACCCUUAUUGCUAGUUACCAUCAUUCAGUUGGGGACUCUAGCGAGACUGCCAGUGAUAAACUGGAGGAAGGUGGGGAUGACGUCAAAUCAUCAUGCCCCUUAUGACCUGGGCUACAAACGUGAUACAAUGGCUGAAACAAAGGGCAGCGAAGCAGUGAUGUGGAGCGAAACCCAAAAAAGCAGUCUCAGUUCGGAUUGAAGUCUGCAACUCGACUUCAUGAAGUCGGAAUCGCUAGUAAUCGCGGAUCAGAACGCCGCGGUGAAUACGUUCUCGGGGUUU
rnacentral:rRNA from 1 species